UCCCUCCCUCUCCUUCUCUUCUUCUUCUCUCCCUCACCCGAGUUUCCCUUCUUCUACAACAACCAAGACUCACCAUCAAACUUCAUAGAUCGACCUUUAAACUACCACAUUAUACUCUCCUCAUCCCCACGAACCCAUUGGUACGAACCGAUCAUGAAAUGAUCAAGUUUUGAACCUCCAACUAGGAGCAACUUGGAGCUCCGACUCGGGUGUGGAUUCUUUGACAAUUUUUAGUUCAAGUUACAAGUUUUUGGGAAGCUUAGAAGCCACUACACAACUCCUCGUGGCCACUAACCUAAGUUGGGAGAGGAGCCAACGUUGAAACACGCAGUUUCAAGGAGUUGAAAAUAGGUCCGAGACUUUUGAGCUUUUUCAGUCCACUUCUUUCUACUUUUUGGACUUCCAAAAGAAUCCCGUAAAAAUUCUCCAAUUUCUAGCGAAUUAGAUGGCGGCAUUAGCGCAGGUAGACGGUGGAGGACAAUCGGAGAAGAAGGAGAAUAUUCCGUUAAAUUUAACAGAAUAUUCUAUAUAUUCCGUCAAAUCUGAUGGAAUAUUCCUCUGUCAUUUGUCAGCGUGUCAGGCGCGUGUGGCUGCAACUUGGCGGCAUGUGAGGGUGCGUCCUGUCUCCGGGUGCCACGUGCUUGACGUGUACAGGUGAGACUUACCCUGACUAGGUAUGAGGACAAACAAGGCUAGGAUGCUACAAUACAUCGAUGUAUCAGACCUAAUUAGCUGAAUACCCUGUGGCAUUCGAGGAAUCUCUGGCGUAUUCUGACAUUACCAUAGAUAAAUGCAUGGGCUUUUUCCUUGUUGUGUAUGAAUUACUUUAACUAGUUUCGACUGCACUACUUAGGUCGUACUGUC